rnacentral:rRNA from 1 species
UGAACGCUGGCGGCAUGCCUUACACAUGCAAGUCGAACGGCAGCACGGGUGCUUGCACCUGGUGGCGAGUGGCGAACGGGUGAGUAAUACAUCGGAACAUGUCCUGUAGUGGGGGAUAGCCCGGCGAAAGCCGGAUUAGUACCGCAUACGAUCUACGGAUGAAAGCGGGGGACCUUCGGGCCUCGCGCUAUAGGGUUGGCCGAUGGCUGAUUAGCUAGUUGGUGGGGUAAAGGCCUACCAAGGCGACGAUCAGUAGCUGGUCUGAGAGGACGACCAGCCACACUGGGACUGAGACACGGCCCAGACUCCUACGGGAGGCAGCAGUGGGGAAUUUUGGACAAUGGGCGAAAGCCUGAUCCAGCAAUGCCGCGUGUGUGAAGAAGGCCUUCGGGUUGUAAAGCACUUUUGUCCGGAAAGAAAUCCUUGGCCCUAAUACGGUCGGGGGAUGACGGUACCGGAAGAAUAAGCACCGGCUAACUACGUG